UUACAAAAGUCCAUUUAUUUU
rnacentral:piRNA from 1 species